AUUGAACGCUGGCGGCAGGCCUAACACAUGCAAGUCGAACGAGUGGCGGACGGGUGAGUAAUGUCUGGGAAACUGCCUGAUGGAGGGGGCUAACUACUGGACACGGUAGCUAAUACCGCAUACCAUCGGAUGUGCCCAGAUGGGAUUAGCUAGUAGGUGGGGAAAAGGCUCACCUAGGCGACGAUCCCUAGCUGGUCUGAGAGGAUGACCAGCAAAACUGGAACUGAGACACGGUCCAGACUCCUACGGGAGGCAGCAGUGGGGAAUAUUGCACAAUGGGCGAAAGCCUGAUGCAGCCAUGCCGCGUGAAUGAAGAAGGCCUUCGGGUUGUAAAGUACUUUCAGUGGGGAGGCGUUACCCGAAGAAGAAGAACCUGCGAACUCCGUGCCAGCAGCCGAGGUAAUUC
rnacentral:rRNA from 1 species